rnacentral:rRNA from 1 species
GACGAACGUUGGCGGCGUGCUUAAUACAUGCAAGUCAACUGAAACACCGGUAGCAAUACUGGUGUGGAGGUGGCGCACGGGUGAGUAACACGUAGGUAAUCUGCCUUCAGGUCUGACAUAACUCCGGGAAACCGAAGCUAAUAUCAGAUGAUGCAGCGGCUUGACAUCAAGACAGUUGUUAAAGCUUCGGCGCCUGAAGAUGAGCCUGCGCCNGAUUAGCUAGUUGGCGGGUACGGA